CACAGACUAACGUCGCCUCAUAACAAAGCCGUGACCUCCGAUUUGCUUGGGGCUAUUUCAGCAAGUCCAGAUUUACUGCUGAGAAUGACGACAUUGUUUCUGCCCGUAAGACGUAUUAUGAGUCGGUACGCCGGAGUUUCAGAUACAAACAACCUGAACUCGCAUCGCAGGCGGAAAAUGCGAACAGUUUAGCUCGGAGUCGAUCCAGAAGAAAAAGGUUGCUGGAAGCGAGACGAAGUGUGUUGGCUGAGGAUGAGAUGGACAUUUGGAAGUGCGCCACCAUAGAUCUCAUAUCUGAUGAGGAAUACGGCAUUGUUGGUGGGGUGUCUGGAUGGAUUGUGCGGCCACCGCCCUCUCGCAGCCUGGAACUCUCCGAGCUCUGUGCCACUCUGCAAUCCAGAUUAGAGGCGAUACCAAAGUACCGGGCAACUCACCAUAUACGCGUGAAAAAGUGACUUUUUUACAACGUUUUUGAGGUUUUUUUUCAACACUUUGAAAAAGAUUUUUAGGGAUCUUUCCCGAACAUCUUAGGCACUUUUUGACGUGUUUGGAGUACAAUAUAAGAGACAUUAUGCUGCUUUGUACAUAGUUGUGUGUUUAUAAAUAAAGCUCUUUCUUUGAAUAAA